rnacentral:rRNA from 1 species
UACGUAGGUGGCAAGCGUUGUUCGGAAUUACUGGGCGUAAAGGGCUCGUAGGCGGCCGACUAAGUCGGACGUGAAAUCCCUCGGCUUAACCGGGGAAUGGCGUCCGAUACUGAUCGGCUCGAGUGUGGGAGAGGGAUGCGGAAUUCCAGGUGUAGCGGUGAAAUGCGUAGAUAUCUGGAGGAACACCGGUGGCGAAGGCGGCAUCCUGGACUACUACUGACGCUGAGGAGCGAAAGCCAGGGGAGCAAACGGG